CAUAAAGAAGCUAUAGUAGCAGUAACCUUUUAAGUUAAAGACCGAGAUAUACUUUCUCCUUUAUGACAUGCCCCAACUAGAUACAUCUACCUGAUUUAUAAC
rnacentral:tRNA from 1 species